rnacentral:misc_RNA from 1 species
AGAGUAUUCUUUCAAGCUUCGCAAGCCAAACAAGAGUCGAAAAUGCGCGGUGGCUUUGGACGUGGCGGUGGUGGCCGCGGUGGCGGUCGCGGCGGUGGCCGUGGCGGCGGCGCGCGUGGUGGAGGCCGUGGCGGCGGUCGCGGCGGCGCGCGUGGCGGAGGCCGUGGCGGCGGUCGCGGUGGUGGCCGUGGAGGCGGUCGCGGUGGUGGCCGUGGCGGCGGUGGUGCGGGUGCCAAGGUUAUCGUGGAGCCACACAUGCUGCAUCCUGGCGUGUUCAUUUCUAAGGCCAAGACCGACUCUCUUUGCACGCUGAACAUGGUGCCUGGUAUUUCCGUUUAUGGCGAGAAGCGUAUCGAGCUGGGUGCAACGCAAGGAGGUGAUGACAAGAAGGAGUACCGUCUGUGGAACCCCUACCGCUCCAAGCUGGCCUCCGCCAUCUACGCUGGUGUGAGUAGCAUUCACAUGGGUCCCGGCUCGAAGGUGCUGUACCUCGGCGGUGCAACGGGUACCACCGUCAGCCAUGUGAGCGACCUUGUGGGCCCGGAGGGAAUGGUGUAUGCUGUGGAGUUCUCGCACCGUGUAGGCCGUGAUUUAGUGGAGAUGUCGAAGCGCCGCCCGAAUAUUGUGCCCAUUAUUGAGGAUGCCCGCUACCCCAUGAAGUACCGUAUGCUUGUGCCGAUGGUGGAUUGCAUUUUCAUGGAUGUCGCCCAGCCAGACCAAGCGCGAAUUCUUGCACUCAAUGCACAAGCUUUUCUGCAGAAUGGUGGUCACUAUGUAAUCUCUAUCAAGGCUAACUGCAUUGACUCCACCCUGGAGGCCCCUGUAGUCAUCGCGUCGGAGCUGAACAAGCUGAAGAAGGACAAGCUGAAGCCGCUGGAGCAGGUGUCUCUUGAGCCAUUCGAGCGCGACCACGCUGUAGUUGUUGGCGUGUAUCGCCCUGUCAAGAAGUCGAAGCAAUAAUGCGCUAAGCACAUGCCAUCCCUAUUUGACACACUGUGCUGAGCAAUUUGGAUUGCGUGUGUGAUGGGGACUGUCUGUCGGUUUAUCGCACUCUUAGCUUGUGUCGCCGCUUUCCUUUUUGUUGUUGUUGUUUUCUAGCGGAUGUGCCUGGAAAGCAAACACAAAGGCAAGUUUUGCUUCUUGUAAUGCAUGGUUGUUGACGGUGGCAAAAGCAGAAAGUUGUGAAACCAGUAAAAAUAAAAAAAGAACUGAAGCAGGGCUCCUGGCAAGAGUCCUUCUUUUUUUCCAUGUCGCGCUCUUCGAUCCCAUGCGGGGGAUGCUAGUGGAAACCACAACGCAGGUAAAAGGUAGCAUGUUAUCUGUUUUCUUUUGGUGUUGCUAACAGUUUAAGGCGCGUUAACAUCGUUGCUUUUGUUGUUAAUCGAUAUAUUUAUCUAAGCAUUUCACUAAUGUGGUAAAGGGAAGAACAAC